rnacentral:lncRNA from 1 species
UCCAGAGCUAACAGGAGCGACCCCCAGUUAUUCCAAGGUAUUGCUAGGGGGCAAGGAGUGGGGCACGGGACCUUUCCCCUCUAGGGGGCGCUGGCCCUGAUCCAGUUCCCGGGCAGGGACUGGCUGGCUCAGGGUGCGAGUGGCUCUGUGUUAUUUCUAUUCCCAGAUCCUGGCACCCUGGUGGUGAACGGGUCACAGCUCACGGCCCGGGAGGGCGACUCCCUGCGGUUCGUCUGCUCUGUCGCCAGCAACCCCCCCGCUGUGCUGGGCUGGGUGAGGGGGGGCCGAGCCAUCGAGGGCACCUGCCCCACANCAGCUCACGGCCCGGGAGGGCGACUCCCUGCGGUUCGUCUGCUCUGUCGCCAGCAACCCCCCCGCUGUGCUGGGCUGGGUGAGGGGGGGCCGAGCCAUCGAGGGCACCUGCCCCACAGAGGAGAAUCAGCUGCGGCUGGAGCUGCCCAACGUGACGGCCGAUGACAGGGGGCUGUACGGGUGCUGGGCCCAGAACAAGGAAAGCUCUGCCCAGGGGACGUUCCAGCUGCUCGUCGAGUACAGCCCCCGGCCGGGGACUGGGCUGAACUCGUCUUGCCAGCGCCAGGGGCUCAGCGUCAGCUGCAGCUGCUCCCUGCGCUCCCAUCCCCCACCCCAGCUCCACUGGCAGGUGGAUGGGGAGCCCCUGGCUGGGAACAGCUCACGGGGGGCCCUGCAGGUCAGUUCAUGGGCCCAGGGGGAUGAGGCCGUCAGCACCCUGAACUGGAUGGGGAGCGGGGAUGGGGGCCCCCGGAUCUUCUGCCUCGGCUCCAACCGGCAUGGGACCUACGCCGCCCUGCACUUUGACUUCAGCCCCCCGCAGAGAGGUGCGGAGGAGGCUGGCAAGCUGCUGGGUGUCGGGGUGGCCUGUGGGCUGGGGGUCGCCAUCGCCUUCUUCCUUCUCGGGCUCUGUGUGAUCAAGCUGCGGGGCCGGGAGCCGGCGCUCCCCAGCGCUGAGGCCGGGGACAUGGCUAAUGGGAGUCAGGCCGAGCACACAGCCGACGACGCCAGCCUGAUCUACAGUAACGUCACCACCAUCCCCAUGGAUCACAAGACUCCAGACAAAGACGUUCAGGACGGGGCUGCAGCAGCCCAUUCCCCACUAGGCCCCAGGGAACCGGACGAGCUGCAUUAUGCCACCAUUGACUUCUCCAAGCUGCAGCACAAACGGGGGGAGCCUGCGGAGGCCCCCGCCACGGAAUAUUCCGAGGUCCGGCUGAAAUAGCCCCCUCGUGCCAUGGGCCUAGGCUGGGCGUCUCCAGCCUGUCCAGUGAGGGAGGGGGUCAAAGUGAGAGGGAAAUGCAGCAAGGGGUCAGCCCUGAGUUGGAAACCUGGGUGCAAAUCCCUGCUCCGCCCCAGACUCUGGGCAGUCAAGUAGGCCUUGGAGAGGCUGGAGUGCUGCAUUGUGGGGUGGUAUCCCAGAGUCCCCUGCAGCCGGGUCCCAAAGCCUGCCCCCUCCCAAACCCCACUGCCCCCGGGGGAAAGAGCCUCUCACCCCCCAGCCCCAGAGAGUCUCUCUUCUACCCUGCCUGAGCCCUCACCCACUCGCUUCACAGAUGGGCAGGAUGGUCACACUCAGGGGCAGCAGCUGGCGGGAGCUGGGAUGACCAGACAGUAGGUGUGAAAAAUCAGGAGAGGGGGUGGGGGUAAUAGGAGCCUAUUCAGUUUCUCCUCACUUAACAUCCUCCCGCUCGCCGUUUUUUCCAAGUUACGUCGCUGCUCCCUUAGGGAACGUGCUCCUGUAAAGCUGUGUGCACCACGCUCCCUUCUAACGGGGUUUGGGGGACUUUACAAGUUCCUCUUCUCCACCUCCCCCCCUUCCUCCCUGCCUCCCAGUGCUUCUCCUUCAAAGCCGGAGGGAGAGAAGCGGCCGUUUGAAGGGGAAGUGCCACUUCUCUCUGGCCGCUGGCUGUGCAGCUGCCCCUGCUCCGCCCUGGGCCGGAGGCCUCAGGGCCACUUUCCAAAAGGGGCUUCAGAGCUGUAGGCCAGGGCCCGGGGCCCCCUUAGCCCAGGGACUUGCAGCCCCUAAAGCCCCUGCAUUCCAAGUGCCCUGCCUGCUGGGGGGGUGGAUCCCAGAAUCACGGCCAUGGGGGCGGCGCAGCGCUGCACAGAGCCACCUGCACACCCCCUGCACCAAACAGCAGCUGCCCCAGGGUAAGUGCUCUGCACCUCCUGCCUGCCUCAGCCUGGAGCCCCCUCCCGCAUCCUAAUUCCCUCCUAGACCC